rnacentral:rRNA from 1 species
UACGUAGGGUGCGAGCGUUGUCCGGAAUUAUUGGGCGUAAAGGGCUCGUAGGCGGUUUGUCGCGUCGGGGAGUGAAAACUCAGGGCUUAACCCUGAGCCUGCUUCCGAUACGGGCAGACUAGAGGUAUGCAGGGGAGAACGGAAUUCCUGGUGUAGCGGUGAAAUGCGCAGAUAUCAGGAGGAACACCAGCGGCGAAAGGCGGCGCUCUGGGCCGGAACUGACGCUGAGGAGCGAAAGCGUGGGUAGCAAACAGG